UAAAUGCAGCACAUUUGUGUGAUCCUCUGUUCUAUUGCUUCCAAACUUCCAGGUGCAAAAAAUGCCCCACUGGCGUGUUAUGAAGAAAUCAACAGACAUCAGGAUAGGUUUGGGCACUGCAGUAAUCGGCUGCUGGAUGGGUACCAGCCCUGCUCCUGGCUGUAGGUGUAACCCAGCGUGUUUGGUUGGUGUUUCCCUUUACUUCCCAAGCAAAACAUGAUGCAAUGAUCUCACGCUGCUGCGGUGUGGCUGUGUUCUGCACACUGACUUUUCUUCCUUUGCUGUGCUGAUGAAUUUCUUAGGAAUCUGGGCUGUGGAAAGCUCAUCUGCACAUACCCAAAUCGAGUUCCCUUCACUAAAUUAAAGGGUGCCAUCAUUUACGCUCAAGUGCAAGAACAUCUGUGCGUGUCUUUUGAUGUAAUGCAAGCACCCACUGAGGCAGAUCCUUUCCUGGUUAAGGAUGGUACAAAAUGUGGUCCUGGAAAGGUGUGUAUGAAUGGCACGUGCCACCCACACUCCAUUCUCAACUAUGACUGCAAUGCAGAGAAAAAAUGCCAUGGGCACGGGGUGUGCAAUAACAAGAAAAACUGCCACUGCCACCCAGGCUGGAACCCACCCCACUGCAAGAUACGGGGAUCUGCGCUGGGUGGCAGCACUGACAGCGGGCAGCGGCUGCGGGAAAUGGAGAGUGAGUGCCCAUAGAGGAGCCCCAAGCAGCCCCAGGGCUCUCAGCAUCACCUGGGCUGCUGCGUGGUUCUGUCCCCAGGCCAUGCCCCAAAGGUAUCUCAGAAGGAUAGGCUGA
rnacentral:lncRNA from 1 species